rnacentral:pre_miRNA from 1 species
UAACUACUCCCUCCGUCCCAUAUUAAGUGACUCAAAUUUGCCCAAAUAUGGAUGUAUCUAUGCCUAAAAAGUGUCUAGAUACAUGUAAUAGAAAGUCACUUAAUAUGGGACGGAGGGAGUAUAUU